GUAAAUGUUUUUGUAAAAACCUUUAGUAACUUUAGUCCUUUCUUUAUUUCAGAUUCAACGUGUUACAAACAAACAUAUUCCACCUGUUACAACAAUCUGGCAUAUUACUUCCUUGAUAUGUGAUGAUACAAUACCUCUCAGGUUUGCUGAGUAGCAAAGAGAAAUGGAAACAUUAACAGUCCAAUUGCUUGAGAUUUUUGAGAGGCCAAAGGAGCAGCAAAAUACAUGUUGGGGGAAAAGCUUGAAUUGGCAGAAAUAUUUCAAAUAAAAACUGUUACUUUUCACAGACUUGGAAGGAAAUACAAAACUAAAAUGCAAGGCACUUUCAGAUUUUGUGAAUGUAGAACUGUGGAGAGAAUAUUCCAAUCUGUACAGCAGAAGGUAGAAAAUUCUAAUCAUACCCCAAGGAGUA
rnacentral:lncRNA from 12 species